rnacentral:rRNA from 1 species
AAAACAUUUCCUUUUGAANNGAUAAAAGGUNNNCCCUGCCCUAUGCAAAAGUAAAUGGCCGCAGUAUCCUGACUGUGCAAAGGUAGCUUGAUUAAUCCCUUUAAUUGGGGGAUGUGCGAAAGGGUUAACGAAAUGCUAGCUGUCUCAAAUAAAAAUAAUGAAUUUAACAAUUAAGUGAAAAGGCUUAAAUAGUUAUGUGGGACGAGAAGACCCUGCAGUGCUUUACUUUUUUAAGUUUUGUUGGGGAGACAUUGGAAAAUCUAAAUCUUCCAAUAUUAACAAAGCUAACAGGCAAAGAUCCGUAAAAAACGAUAACAGGCAAAAGUUACCUCAGGGAUAACAGGCUGAUCUUUCUGGAGAGGCCUAAUUGAUAGAAAGGUCGGCACCUCGAUGUUGGCUCGGGCGAGACUUUUCGGCGCAGAAGCCUUAAAAGUGGGUUUGCUCAACCUUUAAAC